GCGCGGUGCCCGGCUGAAAAGGCAGCUCCCGGUGAUGCUAAACCCGGCGCCAGUAAAGAACUAAAAAGGGCGAAGUCUAGUAUAGCAGAAGGCUUAUUUGGGGAGAAAAGAUGGAAAAGAAAGAAAACAGACGGCUACCGUGAGGUGGUAGGGGGCUUCAGCGCGGAAAGCCCGACCUCCUAUCCCUGGCUCCUUUCACCGGGGCCGGGGCCUUUCCCAUCUCCCCGGCGGGGCUUGUCCGCCUCUGAACUGUUCCUUGACGCCUUGGACCCCAACCUAGGCCUUCUGCCGUUUAGUUUCUUCCUGGCCCUUUGUAAUGAAUAAGUGAAGGGGAGCGCCUAUUACGCAGGCCGCUUACUCAAUGACUAAGUGAAGGGGAUGUGUACACGUGUGUCUCAGUGUAGUACUACACUGACAUGAACGUGAGAACACAUACAUGUGUAUAUGUGUAGGUGCAUGUGUGCGUGCAUGUCUUACAUAUUAAAUAGAGUCCCUAGGUGGCUGUCUCUUACAGCCCUCGCGUUUGGUCAGGUGGGUGAGGGGAGCUGGCUUUCCUAGUAAUUGUGUUUGCCUGGCUCCUCUCUCAGGUCUGGCUAGCUUUCCUUCCUUUGUCUUUCUAAUUACCCUAACUGCAGAGUCUACCUGUGAGAGCAGAAACUGUUUUUAGUAAGUUUUCCUUUGAUAUGAGUAAAACUCAAUGAGGCCUUUAUCCUAUGUUUUCCCUACCUACAGUGCCACCUGUCUCUACAAAAGGAUAGAAAAUUGAACUUUAACUAAACUGUCACAGCAUUUCAGUUUUGAUAUCUUAAUUGACUGACAGCUAUUGUAUUAGUAACAGGAAAAGUUUGUAUAAUAAACUAUUGAAUAAGGAGGAAGGGAGACCAGUCACCCUAUACAUAUACAUUUUUCCUAAGUAGUAGGGUUUAUGUCAAAAAGAAGGAAAGAAAACAAGAAAGAAAAAGAAAGAAAAGAAAGCAAGAAAGAAAGGAAGAAAAGAAAGAAAAAAGAAAAAGAAAGAAAGAAAAAAAAGAAGGAAGGAAGGGAGGGAGGGAGGAAGUGGGGAAGGAAGGAAAAGAAAGAAAGGGAGACAGAAACUAUAAGCAGGAAACUACUGUCCUCUGUUGAG
rnacentral:lncRNA from 1 species